rnacentral:rRNA from 1 species
CCCUUAGAUGUUCUGGGCCGCACGCGCGCUACACUGACGAAGUCAGCGAGCAUGUCCUACGCCGACAGGUGCGGGGAAUCUUGUCAAACUUCGUCGUGAUGGGGAUUGAUUAUUGAAAUUCUUGAUCAUCAACGAGGAAUUCCUAGUAAGCGCAAGUCAGCAGCUUGCGUUGAUUACGUCCCUGCCCUUUGUACACACCGCCCGUCGCUCCUACCGAUUGAGCGAUCCGGUGAAUGUUUUGGACUGGCGUCAGAAGCGGUUCGCUCCUGACACUACGAAAUUUUGUAAACCUUAUCGCUUAGAGGAAGGAAAAGUCGUAACA